rnacentral:rRNA from 1 species
AUACAGAGGGUGCAAGCGUUAAUCGGAAUUACUGGGCGUAAAGCGCGCGUAGGCGGUUUAAUCAGUCGGAUGUGAAAGCCCCGGGCUCAACCUGGGAACUGCAUUCGAUACUGUUAAGCUAGAGUAUGGUAGAGGGAAGUGGAAUUCCAGGUGUAGCGGUGAAAUGCAUAGAUAUCUGGAGGAACAUCAGUGGCGAAGGCGACUUCCUGGACCAAUACUGACGCUGAGGUGCGAAAGCGUGGGGAGCAAACAGAAUUAGAAACCCCAGUAGUCC